rnacentral:rRNA from 1 species
UACGUAGGGUGCGAGCGUUGUCCGGAAUUAUUGGGCGUAAAGGGCUCGUAGGCGGUUUGUCGCGUCGGGAGUGAAAACUCAGGGCUUAACCCUGAGCCUGCUUCCGAUACGGGCAGACUAGAGGUAUGCAGGGGAGAACGGAAUUCCUGGUGUAGCGGUGAAAUGCGCAGAUAUCAGGAGGAACACCGGUGGCGAAGGCGGGACUCUGGGCCGAUACUGACGCUGAGGAGCGAAAGCGUGGGGAGCAAACAGG